rnacentral:lncRNA from 1 species
CUUUUUAGGGCCACACGUGUGGCAUAUGGAAGUUCCCAGGCUAGGGAUCCAAUUGGAGCUGUAGCCACCGGCCUACACCACAGCUACAGCCACACCAGAUCCGAGUCACGUCUUCAAUCCACCCUAUAGCUCAUGGCUAUGCCGGAUCCUUAACCCACUGAGCGAGGCCAGGGAUCGAACCCGAGUCCUCAUGGUUCCUAGUCGGGUGCGUGUGUGACCACUGAGCCACAAGAGGAACUCCCAAAAUUAAAAAAAAAAAUUAUCGAAGUAUAGUUGAUAUGUUCAUGUCUGAUGUACGACAACGUGAUUCAAUUAAAAAGUAUACUUUUUUUUUCAUAUUCUUUUCCAUGAUGGUGAAUUACAGGAUCUUGGAAGCAGCUCCCUGUGCUAUACAGCUGGACUUGGUUGUUUAUCUCUUUUAUAUAUAGUGGUUUGUAUCUGCUCAUCCCAGUCUCUUAAUUUCUUCCUCCCCGGCCCUCUUUCCCCUUGGGUACCCAAAGGUUUGUUUUCUUUGCUUGUGAAUCUUCUCUGCUUUGUUCAGAAGGUCAUUUGUCUCAUAGCUUCGAUUCCACGUACCAGUGCUGUCACAUGGUAUGUGUCUUUCUCUGACGUUCCUCACUCAAUACGAUAAUCUCUAGGUCCACCCAUGUUGCUGCAAAUGGCAUUAUUUCAUGUUUUUCUAUGGCUGAGUAGUACUCCACUGUAUAUAUGUACCACAUCGUCUUAUGCCAGUCCUCGGGACACGUAGGUUGCGUGCAUGUCUGGACUAUUGUGAAUGGUGCUGCUGUGAGCAUUAGGGUUCCUGUAUCUUUGGAUGUAGACCCAGGAGUGGGAUGUGGCAACUCUAUUUUCAGUUUUUGAAGGACUCUCCAUACGGUUUUCCAUAGUGGCUGCACCAAUGCACAUCCCCACCCUCUCCAGAUGUUCUAGAUGAUGGCCAUUCUGACAGGUGUGAAGUGAUAACUUCAUUAUAGCUUUGAUUUACAUUUUUCUAAUAAUUAGCAAUGUUGAGCAUCUUUCUGUGUGCCUGUUGGCCCUCUGUGCGUCUUCUUUGGAGAAAUGUCUUCUGUCCAUUUUUUGCUUGGGUCAUUUGGUUUUUUGCUUGGGUCGUUUGGUUUUUUGCUGUUGUUGUUAUUGAAAAAGCCUUUGUUUUUUCAUGUCCGUGUCAAUGACAUGCUGCUUCUCCUCUUCUAUUGCUCCUCCUUAGUCUAAGCCACCAUUGUGUCUUGUCUGUGAUCUGGACUGAGCAGCCAGCAGACUGUUUAUUCAACAAAUAUUUCUUUUGUUUUUUUUGGUCUUUUUGCCAUUGCUUGGGGCGCUUCUGCGGCAUAUGGAGGUUCCCAAGCUAGGAGUUGAAUCGGAGCUGUAGCCAACGGCCUACACCAGAGCCACAGCAACACGGGAUCCAAGCCAUGUCUGCAACCUACACCACAGCUCACUGCAACACCGGAUCCUUCACCUACUGAGCAAGGCCAGGGACCGAACCCGAAACCUCAUGGUUCCUAGUUGGAUUCAUUAACCACUGUGCCACCAUGGGAACUCCCUUCAACAGAUAUUUCUUGAGCAACUACUGUGGCUUGACACUCUUCUGGGCAUGUUGGCUACUUGUGCACCCCUGUCACGGCAGAGAUAACAGCUGUUAAACCAAAUACUCACAACCGGUCCUGGGUACCAGCAUCACCACAUGGGAGCUUAUUAGACCUGCAAAUUCAUGGCUACGUGCCGAAUUACUGAAUUCCAGUCUCAGAGCAUGGGUCCCACUCAACUAUUUUCACAAGUUUUCUGGUUGAUUCUUUUGCACAGUAAAAUUUAAGAAAUACUUCCAUACAGAAGAGCUGCCCUGGAGCUGAGUUUCACCCUUGUCCACUCAAUGGCAGAGGGCACGUCCAUUGGUCAGUUUUCCUCGGAAGGGCCUGCCGGAGGGGCGGCAUCUAGAAUAUAAUAUAAACUUUUUGAUAGAAACACAAUUACUGGAUGACCAUAGCAGCCACCCUUAAAAAUUAGGUUUUCUGACUCCACUCUAUCAAGUUCACCAACCUUGUUUUUGCUCUUUCUUCUUGUCCAUGUGUCUCACCACUAUUGCACAGAUCCAUACGCUGAAUGGAUUUCAGACAAGUCCUUCUUUUAUUUUAUUUCAUUUUAUUUCGUUUUAUUUUGUUUUAUUUUGUUUUAUUUUAUUUUAUUUUAUUUUAUAUUUUAUUUGUCUUUUUUGUCUUUCUAGGACUUGCACCCGCAGCAUAUGGAGGUUCCCAGGCUAGGGGUCUAAUCGGAGCUGUAGCCACUGGCCUACACCACAGCCACAGCAACGCAGGAUCCGAGCCGUGUCUGCAACCUACACCACAGCUCACGGCAACGCCGGAUCCUUAACCCACUGAGCAAGGGCAGAGACCGAACCCGCAACCUCAUGGUUCCUAGUCGGAUUCGUUAACCGCUGCGCCACGACGGGAACUCCUGGAAUUUCUUUUGAGGAGGUGGCAGGGUGUUUUGAGAGCUUUUUGAGCUGAUGUUACUGGAAGAUCCGGUACUCCAGGCACAUUCUGUAUCUGUAUGAAACAAAGUUAUGAAAUGUCUCCUCUCAGUCAAGCUUGCCUGAUUCUUCUCUAUUUUCCUGUGGUCAUGCUGCAAAGCUCAGGGCUUGACUCUUCUAGAAUUCUGCUGCCUGAAACCUAGGCAUCUGUAAAAGAGGCUGAUAUGUUGGAAGAAUAGUAAUGCAUAGAUUUCUGCAGUGAAAUCCGGUUUGGGGUGUUUUUUUGGUUCUUGCUUUUGGAAUGAGGCUUCAGACGUGUUUUAUUUACCUGCCAUGUCUGGCUCUGUGUUUAUUCUGAAAUAUGUGAGUAUUCAUAUCCAUCUCUAUAUAUGAAUGAUAGUCAAGGAGAGCCUAGAAUUCGGGAAGGAAAGUUGUGUGCAGGUACAGCUACAAGCCACUAUGGAAAAAACAGUAUGGAGGAUCCUCAGAACGUUAAAAAUAGAACUACCGUAUGAUCCUGCAGUUCCAUGUCUGGGAAUAUAUCCAAGGGAAAUGGAACCAGUAACUUCAAAAGACGUUUGCACUCUCAUAUUCAUCCCUGCAUUAUUUACGGUAGUGGAGGCGUGAACCAACCUAGCUGUCCAUUGGCAAAUGAAGGGAUAAAGAAGAUAGGGUAUAUGGCUAUAAUGGAAUAUU